AGUUGGUCCAAUAAAAGAUAUUACCUCACCCACCCUGUCUCUCAAGAUAGAUUUGGCGCAUUUGGGAUAUUCCUUCAUGUUUUUCUUCCUAUGUGACAUCCUGUCUCAGAAGUAAAAACACACAUUUCCUUAUACGUGACGAUUUACUGGUAACAAAUCUCAUCAGCAACCUCUCGUCUGGUUCAAACUCUGGGAGAAGGCGAGUGAAGAAAACAAGUUGGAAAUUAGUGGAAGUAGUGAGAUUUGCAUGUCAUUCAAGGGUAGACUGAGUCACACUGUGAAGAUUGUGCUAAGCCAAAAUUCUGCACUGUGGCCUUUUGGAGGCAUCCCCUGGUGAACAGCGUAAAACGAAACAAAAGUGGACAAAAAAACAGAACAAAGGCUCACAUUCGAAGAAGGGAGGUUUUGCCCUGCAGUAGCCUGAGAAUGGAUAUACAACAAUUAAUUCUGUUGAACUUCAGCUUAAUCCGUACUGGAAAAAUGCCCAGAGUGGACAAAGAGCACAGUAGUCCCUAUCUUCAAGCACAAAAGGAGAUGUGCAAGAAUGUAGUAAUUACCGACCCAUCAAGUUAUUGAGUCAUGCAAUUAAAUGGCUGGGA
rnacentral:lncRNA from 1 species